AUGUUUCAGACAGUUACCUCCUGACCUAUUGUGGUCACAGUAAAGGGACGGUUUACAGACCACAGAGAGCACAGUGAGGACAACCUCAUCAGUCCACUUUACCAAACAAUGUUCUCUGAUUUUCAAAAAUGGAAAAAAUGGGCAAUUAGAGAAAGUGGGUGAUGGCAAAACAAGGACACAGGUAUUGCAACACCAACAGAGAGCUGGGCUAGUGUACAGAAAGGCUGAAGGGUCUGAGGGGAAGUGUCAACCCAGGAGGAAGAACACAGUGUCAACUAACCUGACCUCUCAGAGCUCCUAAGGACUAAGCCACCAACCAAAGAACAUAUAUGAGCUGCCUCGUGGCCCCUACUACAUAUGUAGCACGUGACUACCUUGUCUGGCCUCAGUGGGAGAGGAUGCUCUUAAUCCUCUAGAAGCUUGAUGCCCUCCAAAGGGAGAAGAUAGCAGCAUUGAGGUGGUAGUGGGUGGGGGGAACAUCCUCUCAGAGGCAAAGGUGGGGAGGGGGUAAAGAACUUGUGGAGGGGAACCAGAAAGGGGGCAACAUUUGAAUGUAAAUAAAGAAAAAUUUAUAACAAAAA